rnacentral:lncRNA from 1 species
GGAGAAGGGAGCUGGGGAGAGGAGAAAGUUUCAGAAAGGCAACUUGGGGCUGUGGAGGAGUGCAGCUGGACAGAAGAAGGGGUUUUCUCUUUCGAUUUUAUUUUAAUUUUUGUAUUUUUAGCAUAGACGGGGUUUCGUCAUGUUGCCCAGGCUAGUCUUGAACUCCUGACCUCAAGUGCUGGGACUACAGGCACGCACCACCAUGCCCGCUAGUUUUUGCAUUUUUUAUAGAGAUGGGAUUUCACCAUGUUGCCUAGGCUGGUCUCCUGAGCUCAAGCGAUCUGCCUGCCUCAACCUCCCAAAGUGCUGGGAUUACAGGUGUGAGCCACUGUGGCCAGCCCUUGACUCUUUCUUAGCAGAUGCAUUAGAGUUAGCAAUGAGAUCAACUUUUAGGGAGACUUUUUUGGAGAAGAUGCUCAAG